rnacentral:rRNA from 1 species
UACGUAGGGUGCAAGCGUUAAUCGGAAUUACUGGGCGUAAAGGGCUCGUAGGCGGCCAACUAGGUCAGACGUGAAAUCCCUCGGCUUAACCGGGGAACUGCGUCUGAUACUGGAUGGCUCGAGUUUGGGAGAGGGAUGCGGAAUUCCAGGUGUAGCGGUGAAAUGCGUAGAUAUCUGGAGGAACACCGGUGGCGAAGGCGGCAUCCUGGACCAACACUGACGCUGAUGAGCGAAAGCCAGGGGAGCAAACGGG